rnacentral:rRNA from 1 species
UACGGGGGGGGCAAGCGUUGUUCGGAAUUACUGGGCGUAAAGGGUUCGUAGGUGGCCAACUAAGCCAGACGUGAAAUCCCUCAGCUUAACUGGGGAACUGCGUCUGGGACUGGAUGGCUUGAGUGCAGGAGAGGAACGCGGAAUUCCAGGUGUAGCGGUGAAAUGCGUAGGUAUCUGGAGGAACACCGGUGGCGAAGGCGGCGUUCUGGACUGCAACUGACACUGAGGAACGAAAGCCAGGGGAGCAAACGGG